GAGCGCACCGAAGUCUCCGCAGUAGGAGUCUUCUCUCUGGCUUUUAAAAUUCUUUGCAACCCGAUCUUACGUACAUUAAGAUUUUCAUCUGAUCAACUACUUUUAAAAGACGUUUUGGCAAGUAUCGAGAAUUUUUAAUCAUAGUGAAGACAUGUCUCGCACCAUCUGUUAUUGAAUCACUGAUUUUUAUUUGAAACCAAGUAGGUAAAUACACUCUCAUUAUAAAUGUAACUAUGUGAACUAAGUUUUCGGAGGGCUCUUCACUCGAUAUGUAUAAUCUAAUGCCACUAAGUACUAUGAAAUGAUCGACUGGUCUUCUACAGUAGUAUCACCUCCUCCAGUACUUAGGAAUGUGUCAAAUGCAGUUUUGGUAUCUUCCAUUGAUAACCAACUAUCAAUCGGUCAAAGCAACUUGCUAAGCUUUCCAUGCCACACUCAAGCAGUACAGCGAACUGUUAAGCUUGUUACUGAAGCGUCGAAGAAGUUUGCCUAAAUUUGAGAACAAGUCCCAGUAUACAACAGACAAAUAAAACAAAAUC